AGGUGGCACACAGAGCAUUCCCACGACACUCGCGUUUCUCUGUGCUUUACUGUUUUCUGUGUUUACCGUGUUACGUUUUACGCGUUAUUGCAUCGUGUUAUUUAUGCGUUUCAUUACUACGCAUUUUCGAUUCACCACAACUAAUUGUGCUCCUGUGCGUCCACAUUAUUAGCUGUUUCUUGUUUUAACACUGAUAAGAAUGGACAAACUUUUCAGAAAAUUUCCAAUUGAUAAUACAAUUAACCGGCAAAAUUCUUAUGGAUUUGUGGACAAUAAUACAGUCCCAGGAUCCAUGAAAAAUAGUAUAAAAAUGAGGGUGAAAAGGACGAAAACGAAAAGCAGUAGGAAG